GGGGAAUUUUGGACAAUGGACGCAAGUCUGAUCCAGCCAUGCCGCGUGCGGGAAGAAGGCCUUCGGGUUGUAAACCGCUUUUAUUCGGGAAUAAACCUAUCUACGUGUAGAUAGCUGCAUGUACCGAAGGAAUAAGGAUCGGCUAACUACGUGCCAGCAGCCGCGGUAAUACGCAGGGUGCAAGCGUUAAUCGGAAUUACUGGGCGUAAAGCGUGCGUGGGCGGUUAUGCAAGACAGAGGUGAAAUCCCCGGGCUCAACCUGGGAACUGCCUUUGUGACUGCAUAGCUAGAGUACGGUAGAGGGGGAUGGAAUUCCGCGUGUAGCAGUGAAAUGCGUAGAUAUGCGGAGGAACACCGAUGGCGAAGGCAAUCCCCUGGACCUGUACUGACGCUCAUGCACGAAAGCGUGGGGAGCAAACA
rnacentral:rRNA from 1 species